CCUCAAUGUCUGUUAAGAUUGGAGCUUGUGUGAGGCCAAGACUCACUUGUCUUAAUCUACAAACAACAAUAUGAAGUCAUGUCUUUUUUUCUCUUACCAGGUGCGAGAGCAUGAUGCACAGGAAAGGCAGCAAAAUCAUUUUCUCCAUUCCAGUGGACAUCUUUUCUUCCGUGUAGAAAUAGGUGCUAGUUUGUCCUUAAGUCUUGAGAUGAGGAGGUCUUCCUUUCGUCUUUGAGUUUGAGCUAGAGAAACCGCUUCUGAUCAAGUUGAUCUCUUGUCUGGUUUCGUCUAGUGGCUCCGGUCGUAGUCUUCCUUUCGUUCUUUCUUGUCUUGGUGAAAGCUAGAGUUUAGCUUCGGUAGAGGAGUUGAUCUGAGUUCUGACCGGAGAGGCGAGCUCCCUUUAUACUCGCUGGCCCUCGUUGCACGUCACUGGGGGCUGAAUGGAGAGCCAGCCCUGGACAAACAUGGACAUACUUGGCAUUCUUUCCUCGCUUCCUGACCCCCACUCCAGACAUCCCACAUUCCUGCCGUCUGAAGGCAAGGCUCUGCUGCUCGGCCAAACAACACCAUCUCUCUCUCGGAGCAGCUUUCAUCUGGAAUGGGAGGUUAAGUCUGGUUAGAGACCAGGGACCCCACACUGGGAAUUCCUGCAGACUGACUUCACAAACAGACAGCCGGUACCUAUAAAUAUUAAUUCAGAAAAAAGAGGAAGAAGAAGAAGAGAUGAGAAAAAAAAACUUGUUGGUGGUUCAAAAACCAAAGAGCUUCACAUGAAAGAAGAGGAGUCAAAAACAACGGGGUGAUUUAUUUCUGUGACUGAAUACUACAAGAUGAUCCUGAUGGUCAGUCUCCUGAGUUACCUGAGCCGAAAUGCACGGCCCUGCCAAGGGGGAUCACACACCAGGCCAGACUCUUAUGAAAGGCGGCCCUGCUCCUUCUCCAGCCAGCGAAUCGGAAAUGAAAAACUCCCAGAGAAACCUGGAGCUGGAGGAAUGCGAGGAAGAAGCCAGCAGACUGGGCCGUUACUACGGAGGAAGCGUGCCAUAUAAGGGCGUCUGCUCUUUUCCUAAUAUGGAUAUGUUCUCUCCCUAUGCUGGCUCAGUACAGUAGGGACUCCUAUUAGACCGAGGAAAAACACUGGCGUGAGUGAAAGUGCAGUUUGUGUGGACUAUUUUGUCUCUCAAAACAAACCAGAGAAAGUGUGUGUGUGUGACCUUGAGUGUGUGUGUGUGUUAUCAGUCAUCAUAGCCUCAGGACCCACGCUUCACUUCUGUGAUAUCUAAAGGAAGCAGCUUGAUGGAGGAACGCACUCCGGCCACACUGCACAACAACACUCACACUAACAUGACGCUGUUAUCUUGCGUGAGGGGUAAUCUAGCGUCUGUCAGGUUGUUUAUGAAGUGAGUGAAUCCAACAUUGCAGGCAAAGUUAUUGAAUGUUUUUUUUAAAGAAAGUCCCUUGAAGAUAAAGUCAUCAAUCCUGUUUUAUCUUAUCUCACCUUUUAAUACCUUUGACAGACGGGGAAAUUAUACAAUUUGUCAGAUCGCAUCAAGUCUCACCAAGUAAUAGAUAAGUGAGGUUAUACAAGUUAUUAUUGAAAAACAACGUGGACAUUAAAGGUCCGGGAUCAUUUUAAGGUCAAGGCCUGCUUGCCUCCUGUUGAGGAGCCACCUUGAAACUCACUGUUACCUAGGAAGCUCUUAUUUUUCCGGAUGUUUUUCAUGACACAGGCAGUUUCGGGCCAUGUGUUCACUGAGUUCAGCCUGUCAGUCUCUGGGUUUCACAUGCAGCCUGCGUACUCACUGUCCUGCGGAUCUACAUGUGCGGAGGGGCUGACAUGCGGUGGCCAAGGGAAACUUAUGGCUCUGUGUGUGGCGGGCCCAGAUAUGUCCAGGCUAAGUAUAGACCGAGAUAUUUGUCCAAGAGAGAGUGGCUGUGGGGUAAAAAUCAGUCAUCAGAACAGUGGUGGUGAAACAAUGUCAGGGCAGUCGGUUCAACUCUUGUACUUGUUGGCAUCAUGGGUUGUAAAACAUACCUGUGCAAGAUGUUUCAUCUUAAACCCUUUAACACAUGUGAAAAUGCACUGUUCUGUGUGAUGUGUCAAUGAAGAUGUGGUUGGAUUGUAUUCGUCACAGUUGAAUAAAAAAAUCAGUUUUCCAUUUUAAA